GCCCGUUUGGCGCAAUGGUAGCGCGUCGGCCUCCUAAGCCGAAGGUUGCGAGUUCGAUCCUCGUGACGGGUG